UCGGACGGCCAUAGCUGACUGGUUCACCUGUACCCAUUCGAACACAGAAGUUAAGCAGUCAAACGUUCUGAGCUGUACUGUACUUAAGUACGGGAAACUUGGAAAGCUGUCCACC
rnacentral:rRNA from 1 species